rnacentral:rRNA from 1 species
UACGUAGGGUGCGAGCGUUAAUCGGAAUUACUGGGCGUAAAGCGUGCGCAGGCGGUUUGUUAAGUCCGUUGUGAAAGCCCCGAGCUCAACUUGGGAAUUGCAGUGGAUACUGGCAGGCUGGAGUACGGUAGAGGAAGGUGGAAUUCCCGGUGUAGCAGUGAAAUGCGUAGAUAUCGGGAGGAACACCUGUGGCGAAAGCGGCUCACUGGACCGCAACUGACGCUGAGGCGCGAAAGCUAGGGGAGCAAACAGG